UUUCUCAGUGCCUCCGUCUGCCACGUUUCUUAGUCUGCUGCGUUUUUCAGGUUGGUUUUUAAUUCUUAGUUCUUUUUUUCUCUUCUUUCUUCUUUCUUUUCUCUUCUUUCACAUUUCUUUUCCUCGUUACUUACUCUGUUUUUUAGUCUUCUUUCUCUUUUUUUUUAUUCAAGCCUUCUUCCUCUUUUUCUUGCUCUGAUUCUUUUUUGUUUGUUUUCUUUCCUUUAAGUAAUAGUAAAUUAAUAAAUUUAUUCCUCUUCUUCCUCUUUUAUUUGUAGACAAUAGCCAGCAUAUUCUUCUACACCAUCUCUGAAUUCUACAUUUGUCGCCUCCUGUGGCCAAACCUUUAAACCAGCCGGUAGUGACGUUGACAUAUCAUGACAAUUUAACCAUUGGAAGGAUCUAAAUAACAAGAAAAAGGUGACAUGUGAGUUUUGUAAUCUUACAACUAGUGGAAGAACAAGUAGAGCAAGAAAUCAUCAACUAGGUAUAAAGGGUGAUGUAGUUGAAC
rnacentral:lncRNA from 1 species